UACCAGUUUUUCUCUCUAUCGACUUGCUCGAAUUCGAUGCUCUUGUCUACUAUCCUGUUAUUUCCUUUUGCAGUUCGGUAACGGGAGAGUGAAAUCCAUAGUUGAUUGUGCACCAUCCUCCACAACAGUAAAGAUAAAUGCAAGAAGAGAAGAAAACCACCUUGUAGUCCCCAAGCCAUGUCCACGGCCAUUCAGUGAGAAUCCCUGGUUUGCUAGCCAUUUUUCCUCAACCGGUCAGCUUUUUUCUCCAACUUAAAGUUUUGGCACAAUGAGCAUUACAUAUAUAUAACAAAAUAGUGGUGUUACUAAUGGUACACUAGCUUAAUCUCAUUUAAGUCCAGUCCAUCUAAUACCUACCUGGGGUGGGCAGCUGUCUUACUAUAUGCCUGGUCUCCUAAAUUAUUAUCAGUGCACUUGGACAAACAUAGAAAAACUUGGCGACCUAAUAUUAGAUGUAUAAUUGUUACAAAGUGUGAUAAUGUAGCAUGGUGUGUUUUUCCUGUGGAUA